CUGCAGCCCAUGGAGGACCAUCGGAGUGCAGAGACCCACCUGCAGCCCAUGGAGAAGCCCAUGUUGGAACAGGUGGAUAUCUGAAGGAGGCUCUGACCUUGUGGAAGGCCCAAGAUGGAGCAGGGUCCUGCCAGAGAUCUGUGGCCUAUGUCAAGAGGAGCCCACAAUGGAGCAGGUUUCUCCCAGGACCUGUCUGGCUGUGACUGAUCAAUGAACCAUGACGAUGUUAGAAGGCCCAGAGAAGAUUUGAAUGGUGACACAUCCAUGAAGCUUCCACAAGAAAGACUGGACAGUUGUCUUCCUUCUGUAUAAAUGAUUACAGCAGUUGAGUGGAUCAGCCGUCAACUGGAUAAAGUAGUUGAGUGAAUCAACAAAUAGUACCAGCUGAAUGGAUCAACCUCUUAUUUGUCCCUCAAUUAAUAAAAAGAACAGAAACAGUUA